rnacentral:lncRNA from 1 species
AUUAACCCAGAAACCUAGAAUAACCAAGAUACAACUUCCGAAACACAAGAAAAUCAAGAAGGAAGACCAAUGCGUGGAUACUUCAUUCCUCCCUAGAAUAGGGAAUAAAAUAUCCAUGGAAGGAGUUGCAGAUACAAAGUCUGGAGCUAAGACGAAAGGAUGCACCAUCCAGAGACUGCUCUACCCAGGGGCCCAUCCCAUAAUCAGCCACCAAACGCAGACAUUAUUGCAUAUUCCAGCAAGAUUUUGCUGAAGGGACCCUGAUAUAGCUGUCUCCUGUGAGGCUUUGCCAGUGCCUGACAAAUACAGAGGUGGAUGCUCACAGUCAUCUGUAGGAUGGAACACAGGACCCCCAAUGGAGGAGCUAGAGAAAGUACCCAAGGAGCUGAAGGGGUCUGCAAGUAGGAACUAACCGAGAAGAUAAGGGAAACCGUGAAAAGACAGAGCAAUAGGACAUCCCAACGGGAAAGCGGAAAGAUGCAGACUGUGGUUUACAGGACCUCUGAGCAGUCGUCUUUCUUUUUUUUUUGAACUCAAGAAACCAGGGCUGAGGAAUUCACCUUCGAUUGACUUGGGAGUGGAAGGAAGAUCAUUUGAGAUCAAAUAUUUUUUCUUCGCUUGAUAGUGAAAUUGUUCACAGUUGCAGGAAAU